rnacentral:misc_RNA from 1 species
AAGAAGGCGAGGGAGGGGGUGAUGGAGUUUUUACUGAUGAAUCAUCCUCUGGAUUGCCCGAUCUGCGAUCAGGGAGGGGAAUGUGAUCUUCAGGAUCAGUCGAUGGCGUUUGGAUCGGAUCGGGGGCGGUUUACGGAGAUGAAGAGGUCUGUGGUGGAUAAGAAUUUGGGACCGCUAGUGAAGACGGUGAUGACUCGCUGCAUUCAGUGCACCAGAUGUGUUAGAUUUGCUAGUGAAGUUGCUGGUGUUCAGGAUCUAGGAAUGUUAGGGCGUGGAAGUGGGGAGGAAAUAGGGACCUAUGUUGAGAAGCUCAUGACAAGUGAGCUGUCUGGAAAUGUGAUUGAUAUCUGUCCAGUCGGAGCUCUCACCUCAAAACCAUUUGCUUUUAAAGCUAGAAACUGGGAACUGAAAGGUACAGAGAGCAUUGAUGUUACUGA